UGCAGCGGAAUUUAUCUGAAAUCCUCCCGUCACCUGUCAAAAAAGGCAAUCUAUUCCAUCAUCGGUUGAUCAAUGCAGAUAUACAUCACGAAUUCAUGAGUCGUUUCUUCAUCGCUGCCAUUCAUGCUUUCCCGUGAUGUAGCAAAACGUUUUCACUUAUCACGAUUGAGCGAGGUGAUUCUUAGCCCUCAUCGAACAAUGGGAUCGGUGACAAUAUGGCUAUUGUACGGGUUAUCUUCCACGCUCUGCAUGACAGGCCACUCGCUGAAGUGUGCUUCAUGCAAGCCUGAUCACGAUCCGGAGAUAGCCGAGACCAAUAAGCUGCUAGUGGAUGGCAAGUACAGCAUCGUAGAGUCGGAGGGCAAGAUGUUUAAGCAAAACUAUUCCACUUGGCCGCUCUGCCAAGAGGUGAACGACAAAACGGACUAUGGAGCAAUCACGCUGGAAUGCCCCACAGAUGGUGAUUGGGUAUGCGGCUUCGCUUGGGCGGCCGCGGAGCAGUACGCCACCAGGGGGUGCGUCCUGAGACAGGAAGGCUUCAACAUGGACAAGUGCGUGCGGAAGAAUGUGCUAGACGAUAUGGGGCAGGUAGAGUGCUCCUUCUUGCUUCAUUACUGCGAGAAGGACCUAUGCAAUAAGCAGUCCAAGAAGCAGCUACGCCUGUGCG